UUUCUACAAGAUUUUUGAGGUGCACCUUAGUUCUACCGGACAAGAGGAGAGGGAAAGAGAGAGAGAGGAUUUUCAGCAUCCAAGAGAGAGAGAGAUGAACAUUUGUUAGCUAUCUUAAUAAAGAGAGAGAGAUACAUUCCAUAUAGCUUAAUCUAAUAGGACCCAUUUUUUCUCUCUUCGUCACUUGUUUAUAAGACACGUUUUUCUCUCUCAUCUUGCUCAGAUGGGUGGGGAUUAUUAGCUGAGUACUCUCUCUCUCUCUCUCUUUGCAGCAUGGGCGAUCUGAGCUAUAUUGCCACUGUAAAUGGAGUAUCCUGCUAUAAGUCAUUUUCCCCUAAGGCUCCUCACCUUGUAGGGUGCCCCAUCAAAGGGAAGCUGUCCUUUUCUUCUUCGAUUCAAUGUACCCGUCUCUGUGUGUAUGUGUGUGUGUGUUUUAUUUAGUCAUGCAGGGGAUUUUUGCAUAAAAAGUUGCCACCUUCUUCAAUCUUUGAUCCCCAUAAAUAUUUCUCUUACUAUCUCUCUCCUUCCUCUCAUUUUUUUCUACUGGGAAACAGCUGUUGUCACAGUCAUGAUUGCAGACUCAAACUAAGCUUAAACGCCCUGAUCAAUGAGCCAAAAAAAAAAAAAAAAGAGAGAUCUUUUUUGAAAUUGUUUCAUGGUUUUAUGGAACCCAACUAAAUUUCCUUCAAAAUUUGUGCAUUUUUUAUUUAAGUUGGAGAACUAUUCAGUUCUUCCCGUAACCCUUUUUUUUUUUGUUGGAUCGAUAGUUUUAUGUAACCCAUUGUUUGAAUUCUAUUUGUUACAAUUCUCUUUACUAACAAUAUUGAGCUCUCUCUCUCUCUCUGUCUCUCUCUCUCACACACACACGCACACACAUUGUAUGCAGGGUGUCCAGUUAGACUGGCAUCUUGUAAAAUUGCAGAGGAGAAGAGGAAUAGGUCAAACCCCUUCGUAGUUUCAGCAGAGGUGAAACAUUUGAUAGGUUUCCUUGUUAAAACUGAAGGUCUUCGAUUUGCAAUUGAUGUUGCAAGGUUCAAUGAGAUAGUGACCAGGAAGUUAUUGGAGAGGGCUCUUGGUACUUUCAAAAGAUACUUUGUUAAAGAUCAAGACAUCGAUGUAAGCUUCUAAAAUUGCUCUAUUCGUGAAUCCUAAGAAAAAGGAAAAAAAAAAAAGAGAAGGGAUCAAUAGGUCAACAUAGUGUACUAUAAGCCAAUGGAAUAUGGUAUUAGCAUAGUGUAUUGGGUCACACCAUCCAUUGAGAUGAUGGACGAUGAUGAGGAGAUGAUGGUGGUACCGCUGGCUUCUUAUCGUGUUACGGGUAAGAGGAGAGACUAACACUAUGACGUUUUUGCCAAUUCAGCUGCAUCUGGAAUACUUUCUGCUGGCUUGAAUUCAGAUUGAGAUGGCAUCUUUGUUUGAGCAUCACCUGAAGCACUGAUUCAUCCCUCUGUGCCCCACCUUUCUCUUGCCGAAAUCCAUUGUUUCAGUCUCUCCCAGUCUUAAAAUGCAGCGAGCAAUGCAGCGAGCCCCUUUAUCCAUUACUUCAUGAGACGGGCCUUCUUUCUUCUUUAGCUUGUGAUUUGAUCCCAAAAUACAAGAGGGUCGAGACAAAGAGCUCCAUAUCAGUAGACAAUGGCAUUUGAUUCCUUUUUGCAGAGGCCCAAAAAAUUGAGUUAAUGUAAACUAAGCAUGGCUUGGGUGGUGUGAAGUGUAGGAAUGAGAAGGUUUCACAAUCAAGGAACUGUUGUGUAUGAUUGUCUUUUUUAUAAGUAUCGUCAUUUGAGAUA